AAAAAGAAAACUUCAUUCUCUCUCAACUCCUUUCCUCAGUCCGGCCUCGGCUCCAACGCGCCUUCGUCGUAGAGCCACCGAGAACGGGGGCCGGAGGAGCAAAAUCAAGCCUUUCCGGUUCCUCUUUGAAGCCCGUAGCCUCUAGAACACGGAUUCAAAGCUGAAUCCCGUGAAAGGUGGCUGUGAGCCAUAGAAACGGAGGGAAACCGUUCGGUUUCUCCUCCUCCGGCGUGGCGCAGGUAAGGAUUCUCCGUUCCCUUACUCUUAUUUUUUAUUUAGAAGCGCAAACAAGAUUAAAAUGAAACAAACUAACAGAUCUAAAAAAAGGCAAUAGUCACCUUAAGAUUUUUUUGAAUCCUUUUAAGAGUCUCUUUUUUUUAUUUUCUGAUAUUCAUAAAAAAGUGGUCCCUCCUUUACAGAUCUGUGCUUGGCUUUUAUAUAGCCAAAGAGAAAAUAAAGAAACAUCAAAAGAGCUAUUGUCCAUAUUGCUUCCUUCUAUUUUCUGUCUCUUUUUUCCUUUUCAUAUUUACAGGCAUUGACGGAGACGUAUCAGUGAACAGAUGGAGCAGAGGGCAGGUAUGGCAGUAACGUACGGCGCACAUGGGAGCAGCAAGGGAUGCGGCGCCCUAGGGUUGGGGAUUAAGGUUUUCUGCUGAAAUGUUUAGGUGAUUGGGCCAUUGGGCUUGCUGUUUUUGGGUUUAAUUUAGUUUGUUGGGCUGGGGCAAAUUUGGGC
rnacentral:lncRNA from 1 species